AUUGAACGCUGGCGGCAUGCCUUACACAUGCAAGUCGAACGGUAACGCGGGGCAACCUGGCGACGAGUGGCGAACGGGUGAGUAACGCAUCGGAACGUGCCCAGGAGUGGGGGAUAGCCCGGCGAAAGCCGGAUUAAUACCGCAUACGACCUACGGGUGAAAGGGGGGGAUCGCAAGACCUCUCGCUAUUGGAGCGGCCGAUGUCAGAUUAGGUAGUUGGUGGGGUAAAGGCCUACCAAGCCGACGAUCUGUAGCUGGUCUGAGAGGACGACCAGCCACACUGGGACUGAGACACGGCCCAGACUCCUACGGGAGGCAGCAGUGGGGAAUUUUGGACAAUGGGCGAAAGCCUGAUCCAGCCAUGCCGCGUGCGGGAAGAAGGCCUUCGGGCUGUAAACCGCUUUUGUCAGGGAAGAAAUCUUCUGGGUUAAUACCUCGGGAGGAUGACGGUACCUGAAGAAUAAGCACCGGCUAACUACGUGCCAGCCGCCGCCGUAA
rnacentral:rRNA from 1 species